AGUGAACGCUGGCGGUAGGCCUAACACAUGUAAGUCGAACGGCAGCACAGGAGAGCUUGCUCUCUGGGUGGCGAGUGGCGGACGGGUGAGGAAUACAUCGGAAUCUACUCUGUCGUGGGGGAUAACGUAGGGAAACUUACGCUAAUACCGCAUACGACCUACGGGUGAAAGCAGGGGACCUUCGGGCCUUGCGCGAUUGAAUGAGCCGAUGUCGGAUUAGCUAGUUGGCGGGGUAAAGGCCCACCAAGGCGACGAUCCGUAGCUGGUCUGAGAGGAUGAUCAGCCACACUGGAACUGAGACACGGUCCAGACUCCUACGGGAGGCAGCAGUGGGGAAUAUUGGACAAUGGGCGCAAGCCUGAUCCAGCCAUACCGCGUGGGUGAAGAAGGCCUUCGGGUUGUAAAGCCCUUUUGUUGGGAAAGAAAUCCAGCUGGCUAAUACCCGGUUGGGAUGACGGUACCCAAAGAAUAAGCACCGGCUAACUUCGUGCCAGCAGCCGCCGUA
rnacentral:rRNA from 1 species